rnacentral:rRNA from 1 species
GAUGAACGCUGGCGGCGUGCCUAAUACAUGCAAGUCGAGCGAACAGACGAGGAGCUUGCUCUUCUGACGUUAGCGGCGGGCGGGUGAGUAACACGUGGAUAACCUACCUAUAAGACUGGGAUAACUUCGGGAAACCGGAGCUAAUACCGGAUAAUAUAUUGAACCGCAUGGUUCAAUAGUUAAAGACGGUUUUGCUGUCACUUAUAGAUGGAUCCGCGCUGCAUGAGCUAGUUGGUAAGGUAACGGCUUACCAAGGCAACGAUGCGUAGCCGACCUGGGAGGGUGAUCGGCCACACUGGAACUGAGACACGGUCCAGACUCCUACGGGAGGCAGCAGUAGGGAAUCUUCCGCAAUGGGCGAAAGCUUGACGGAGCAACGCCGCGUGAGUGAUGAAGGUCUUCGGAUCGUAAAACUCUGUUAUUAGGGAAGAACAAAUGUGUAAGUAACUAUGCACGUCUUGACGGUACCUAAUCAGAAAGCCACGGCUAACUACGUG